ACACCAUGUCCGCCAUGGUGUGCUGUGCUGCAUGGGGAUGCUCUGAUCGAUCAGAGAGAGGACGGCGAAUGGAUGGUUUCCCCCUCUACCUUUGCCAUCAAUUUAGAAAUCACCUGGGCUGAAACAUUAUAUAGACAGGCUCUGGACCAAGCAAGACUUAACAAGUUCAUUAAGUUAUGAGUUUUUACAACUGGAAGGGUGUGCAAACUUUUUUCUCUUUUUUUUUUGCAUGCAACAGUUCCUGUUUGUUUUCUUCUCUUUUUUUUUUCCAGUUCAUCAAAUAUAAAGUUUUUUUUCUUCAGUGGUUAUGUUGACUUCUUUUCACUUCAUUUUAUAAUUAAAAAAAAAAAAUCACCUAUUUGUCUGGGGUGCUGAAACUUUUGUAUACAAGUGUAUAUUAUGUUACAAUGUUAGUUUAUUGGAUAUACAUAGAAUGUGUUGAAAUAGUGAAAUAAUGUGUUAAAUAAACUCUCCAAACUUUUA